rnacentral:tRNA from 1 species
GGAUCUGUAGCUCUGUGGCAGAGUGAUUGUCUCACAUGCAUGAGGCUCUGGGUUCAAUUCUCAGCACCA